UGGCUGCUGUUUUGCCCCGACAUUGUG
rnacentral:sRNA from 1 species